rnacentral:rRNA from 1 species
CCUACGGGUGGCAGCAGUGGGGGAUAUUGGACAAUGGGGGGAACCCUGAUCCCGCGACGCCGCGUGAGUGAAGAAGUAUUUCGGUAUGUAAAGCUCUGUCAGCAGGGAAGAAAGAAAUGACGGUACCUGACCAAGAAGCCCCGGCUAACUAAGUGCCAGCAGCCGCGGUAAUACGUAGGGGGCAAGCGUUAUCCGGAAUUACUGGGUGUAAAGGGAGUGUAGACGGUGAAGUAAGUCUGGAGUGAAAGGCCGGGGCCCAACCCCGGGCCUGCUCUGGAAACUAUUUGACUUGAGUGCAGGAGAGGUAAGCGGAAUUCCUGGUGUAGCGGUGAUAUGCGUAGAUAUUAGGAAGAACACCCGUGGCGAAGGCGGCUUACUGGACUGUAACUGACGUUGAGGCUCGAAAGCGUGGGGAGCGAACAGGAUUAGAUACCCGAGUAGUC